rnacentral:tRNA from 1 species
AGAAGCAUGGCUUAGCAGGAAAGCUCUUGCCUUUCAAGCAGGAGGGCUGAGUUCAAACCCUAGCACCACUG